CCUACGGGAGGCAGCAGUGGGGAAUCUUGCGCAAUGGGCGAAAGCCUGACGCAGCAACGCCGCGUGGGGGAUGAAGGCUCUCGGGUUGUAAACCCCUUUCAGCAGGGACACGGUACCUGCAGAAGAAGCCCCGGCUAACUACGUGCCAGCAGCCGCGGUAACACGUAGGGGGCAAGCGUUGUCCGGAUUUAUUGGGCGUAAAGAGCUCGUAGGUGGCUGAGUAAGUCGGAUGUUAAAUCCCCAGGCUCAACCUGGGACACCACCCGAUACUGUCUGGCUAGAGUCCGGUAGGGGAGCGUGGAAUUCCUGGUGUAGCGGUGAAAUGCGCAGAUAUCAGGAGGAACACCAGCGGCGAAGGCGGCGCUCUGGGCCGGACUGACACUGAGGAGCGAAAGCGUGGGUAGCAAACAGGAUUAGAUACCCUUGUAGUC
rnacentral:rRNA from 1 species